GCAAUACAAACUUUACUUAUUCAAAAACAUGUCAUUACAACAUUUUUAUGUUUUUUAAAUCACAAACUUCCACAAUGUCAAAUCACAACAAAACCCAUAUCUAAACCAGAAAUAAUACACAAUCCUGGAAGUAAAGACCAGCCCCAAAUUGCUAUACAAAGCGCACAAGAGUACCCUUGAGACAAAUUAGGGCUGACGGCAGCAUUAUGAGCAACAAACGAUGCAGGCGAGGUGCUUUCUCCCUUUGGUCUCUGCAUUGCAGCAUGAGCACAGGUUCUAAGCACGACCGGGCUCUACAUCAAAGAGACGUGCAAUACAUCACAUGCUAACUGAAUGCUUGCCGAAGCUUCAAACCCUAGCCCUAGUUUUUGAGCUCCUCACAACACAACAGGUGCACUCGCUCUACAGCUUUAGUGUUGGAGAUGAUCGACAUCAGCUGGGUGAGUGUCGAAAUGGGGUCUCGCAACUGCACAGGAAAAGGGUGCCGAGAAAAACUCGUACUUGCCACUCAAUCUUGGAGCGGUCCUUUGCUAAGUUCAGUGGCCUAGAGAUCAUUUCGUGUUACAUGAUGCUAAUGUGUGUUUCAGCAAUGGGUUGUGUUUACUUUACAAGAUUUGAACUCGAAUGAAAACCAUGAACCCAUAUAUGAAUCACCCUUUUUCGUCUUUCUGGAUGCACAAAUGGGCACGCGGAUAUCAUGCCAGAACUCGAUUGGGACUUUCAAAUUACUUCAGAGGAGAGUCUGCGCCACUUGCAUGAUUCCCACCACAUCCGAAAAUGGAUCAAUGCGUCAUUCUACAGGCGGGACAACGGAGUUCUCGAUGCAAAUCGUAAUGUCGAUCGGGUUGGACGCAGGAUAGGCAAUCGGACUCGUGAAUUGGAAAUCGGAGACCUUCAUUCCUCGUUUCAUUUAAGCAAAAGCCAGGGGAAAAGAUGCACAAUUGAAGUUGCAGAGAUAUGGCCAGCCAUGGUGCCUUGCCACCGUCUCUGGCACGGCUAGAGCCUCGCUCAGAAAAAUCACGAAGCGGGUCCCCGGAGCCUCUGAGCAGCGAGAGGGAUGACACGUUUAUCCAGCUCAACCAGCACAUUGAUGUGGAGAAGGAGAUUACUCAGUUCGUGGAGGAGUUGGACGAAUAUGAGGGCAGAGAGGAGUUGGUCUUUACCUCAAAAACACGAAAAAGCCCUUGUGCGGAAAAUGUAAAUAACUGGGGUGGAGAUGUCAUCGCCCCCGGAUCCACUGACAGGGACAACAAUGCCUCUUCACUCUUCUAGAAGACGAGCCAUGCCACUGAGCAGAAGGAUGGCGUCCCCGUCUCCGUGCUUGCAGCCCACUUUGAGAGAAAGGAUUCGCGUUAUCCUUCAUUUGUUGGAGCUAGGAAUAGUGUGAGCAUGACAGGCACCACAACGGCUGGAUCGUUCCGAACGUUGCAACGUAGUCCGAUCCGGAGGACUUCUAUGGCGGUUACUUAUCCUGCCCUUUCUCCGCAGGUGGUCGAGGUUAUCAGGUCCCUAGAAGAACACAGGAAAAAAGCUGAAGAAGAGGGCAAACUGCAUGGACGCACGAGCUGUGGCCCAACGCCUGAAUGGUGUGAAGAUCUUGGAAGAUAACAAGGGAAAAGCUGCCAUGCUCAAGACAUUCACAAGAAAGAGUAGACUCUGGGAGAUUGCAUGAAAAAGAAACUGAAGCGACAAAUCUGAUUUGGGAUGAGAAGUUGCACGAGUUCCACAAAGGAGUAGUGCAGCAUGCAGCGACGUUGAAACGUGAACAACUCAGUGUUAUACAAGCCUUCAGGCAACGCUCAACUGCAAAAGCACCCACUAAACCCCAGUGGUCUCCUGCGCUUCUAAAACACAGAAAAGUGCAGACAGCAUGGAGCUUUUAGAGCUACGAGCAACAAUAGCUGCAUAUGCAGCUGAGGUAGCACUCAAAGAACAAGCUCUCCGAACCAAGCAACAAAACGAAAUGGAGGUUUUGUUGCAAUGGGCUGCCGAAGGACGUGAUGAGCUUCGAAAGCAGAGAGACACGGACCAUGCCAGAUGCAUAGGGAGUUGUGGGGCAUCCAGAAACAAGAACAUGUGAAAGUUGAACAAAUAUUGGGUAAACGAAUUGAUGAAUUCCAGAGGAGUGGUGGGAGUCUGGUUAUGCUUUCGGACACUAUGAGUGGUAUGGGCUCCUUGACACUACCUGGAAAUCAGUCCUCAUGACCUGAAGGAGAUGAAGCUGCACCAUCUUACGGACGUUCACUUGGAUCCAGGUAAAAAAUUUGUGACAAAAAUUGUGAUUGAUGAGAUAGUUUCAUCCACACUCUAGCACCGUAGAACAGUUUUAGGAAACAAUAUGAACAUGAAUACUUGGUUUUGGUUGUCUUGUGUGUACUCGUGUAGAUAUGAAUCGUAGAUACAAAAUGUUUCAUAUUUGAAAUGAAUAAGUGUAUAUGUGUUUUUUAUUAGUUAAUAAUAAGUAGAUUCAAUGUGGGUUAAAACAGACUUUAUAUAGGAAAUAAUAUAUAAAACUAUAUUAUUAUGUUUGAAAAGCAAUGAACCUGUAUAUUAUUUAUUUUGGAUAUGGAAAUUUUGGUACCCGUCUUGGCUAUUUUGAUACCUUACAGUUGUUUAUUGAUUGUUUGAGAGUGAAGGACAAGAAGAGUAAUGGUGAAAAAAUAUUUUAUAUUCUCAAACAAACUAAUGACCAAUUCUAGGAGCACCAAAAUAGUUAGAGGAUACUAAAACAUUGGUUUGUU